GAUUGAACGCUGGCGGCAGGCCUAACACAUGCAAGUCGAGCGAGAAAGUCCUUCGGGAUGAGUACAGCGGCGGACGGGUGAGUAACGCGUAGGAAUCUACCUAGUAGUGGGGGACAACAUGUGGAAACGCAUGCUAAUACCGCAUACGCCCUAUGGGGGAAAGCGGGGGAUCUUCGGACCUCGUGCUAUUGGAUGAGCCUGCGUAAGAUUAGCUAGUUGGUGGGGUAAAGGCCUACCAAGGCGACGAUCUUUAGCUGGUCUGAGAGCAUGAUCAGCCACACUGGAACUGAGACACGGUCCAGACUCCUACGGGAGGCAGCAGUGGGGAAUAUUGGACAAUGGGCGAAAGCCUGAUCCAGCCAUGCCGCGUGAGUGAAGAAGGCCUUAGGGUUGUAAAGCACUUUCAGUAAGGAGGAAAGGUUGUUGGUUAAUAACUAACAACUGUGACGUUACUUACAGAAGAAGCACCGGCUAACUCCGUGCCAGCAGCCGCGGUAAUACGGAGGGUGCCGAGCGUUAAUCGGAAUGACUGGGCGUAAAGCGCGCGUAGGUGGUUUCUUAAGUUGGAUGUGAAAGCCCUGGGCUCAACCUGGGAACUGCAUCCAAAACUGGGAGACUAGAGUACGGUAGAGGGGGGUAGAAUUUCAGGUGUAGCGGUGAAAUGCGUAGAUAUGCGGAGGAACAUCGGUGGCGAAGGCGGCUAUCUGGCUUAAUACUGACACUGAGGAACGAAAGCGUGGGUAGCAAACAGGAUUAGAUACCCUGGUAGUCCACGCCGUAAACGAUGUCAACUAGCCGUUGGGAGGUAUAACCUUUUAGUGGCGCAGCUAACGCGAUAAGUUGACCGCCUGGGGAGUACGGCCGCAAGGCUAAAACUCAAAUGAAUUGACGGGGGCCCGCACAAGCGGUGGAGCAUGUGGUUUAAUUCGAUGCAACGCGAAGAACCUUACCAAGACUUGACAUCCUGAUAACUUUCUAGAAAUAGAUUGGUGCCUUCGGGAGAUCAGUGACAGGUGCUGCAUGGCUGUCGUCAGCUCGUGUCGUGAGAUGUUGGGUUAAGUCCCGUAACGAGCGCAACCCUUAUCCUUAUUUGCCAGCACGUAAUGGUGGGAACUCUAGGGAGACUGCCGGUGACAAACCGGAGGAAGGUGGGGACGACGUCAAGUCAUCAUGGCCCUUACGUCUUGGGCUACACACGUGCUACAAUGGACCGUACAAAGGGUUGCUAAGCCGCGAGGUGGAGCUAAUCCCAUAAAACCGUUCGUAGUCCGGAUUGGAGUCUGCAACUCGACUCCAUGAAGUCGGAAUCGCUAGUAAUCGUGAAUCAGAAUGUCACGGUGAAUACGUUCCCGGGCCUUGUACACACCGCCCGUCACACCAUGGGAGUGGGUUGCUCCAGAAGUGGUUAGCCUAACCUUCGGGAAGGCGAUCACCACGGAGUGAUUCAUGACUGGGGU
rnacentral:rRNA from 1 species